CUUGUUGGUGAGGUAAUGGCUUACCAAGGCGAUGAUCAGUAGCUGGUCUGAGAGGAUGAUCAGCCACACUGGGACUGAGACACGGCCCAGACUCCUACGGGAGGCAGCAGUGAGGAAUUUUCCGCAAUGGGCGAAAGCCUGACGGAGCAAUGCCGCGUGAAGGAUGACGGCCUAUGGGUUGUAAACUUCUUUUCUCAGAGAAGAAUUUUGACGGUAUCUGAGGAAUAAGCAUCGGCUAACUCUGUGCCAGCAGCCGCGGUAAGACAGAGGAUGCAAGCGUUAUCCGGAAUGAUUGGGCGUAAAGCGUCUGUAGGUGGCUUAAAAAGUCUCCUGUCAAAGAUCAGGGCUUAACCCUGGGCCGGCAGGAGAAACUCUUAGGCUAGAGUUUGGUAGGGGCAGAGGGAAUUCCCGGUGGAGCGGUGA
rnacentral:rRNA from 6 species